UUCCGUAGGUGAACCUGCGGAAGGAUCAUUCACACGCAUCCAACCAUUUCACUGUGAACAACUUGGUGUGAGGGUCUGUCCAAGGAUGGAGAUAGUAUCGAUGCCCCUGGGCAGAACCUCGAGGGUGGUAAGCCAGAACUGGACCGUCUUCCUCUUCUGCCACUGCCACCAAUGUCUGUCAAAUCACAUCUCUCUCUGUUUUUGCAUGGGUGGCUUGCGUCACCUUGUCAAUGAAAUUACAACUUUCAGCGAUGGAUGUCUUGGCUCGAACAACGAUGAAGGGCGCAGCGAAGUGUGAUAAGCAUUGUGAAUUGCAGAAUUCCGCGAACCAAAAGAUAUUUGAACGUAUACUGCGCUUUCGGGAUAUCCCUGAAAGCAUGCCUGCUUCAGUGUCUCCAUCACUUAAUGCCGCAGAUGUGCGACCAGCUUCGGCAGGUUAAUAAUCUGCAUGGCGUGUUUGUGUGUUAGGGCGUCUCGGGGUGUCAAAACCUCUGUAGACCCUUGAUGCAUGCAGUGCAUGGCAGCCUUGCCAGCAAAUACAAUUUAAAGAUCAUCCUUGUGAUGUACUUGUUGUGUCGUUGGUGGGCUUGUCAAUCUCAUCCCUUUCGGGUUUUUUCCCAGACAUGAAGUUAGGUCAGCAAACCCGCUGAAUUUAAGCAUAUC
rnacentral:rRNA from 1 species